UCGAGCUCCGGGACAGUUGCGUGUUAACUACGCUACUGCUCUCUUCCAAGAGUCCAUCGACUAACUUGCUCUUCCAGAACUUUCUGUCUUCGGCUGCCAGGGAAAGGUGGAAUCAAGUUUAACAAGGCAGGCUGAGCCAAAUAUGUCCAGUGGUCCUGAAGUCCUGAAGUUGAGUGGUCCUCAGCUGAAUCCUUGACAUUAUUACUGUUCUAGGACAUUGAGCUUGGCCCAUUUAAAAGCUACCAAGUUCACCUCAGCAUUGUCCUGGUGUUGGUAGAUCCAUGAGCCUUCGCGUGGAUCUGUUUCUGUAUUCUGUCGGCACAUUUCUGGUCCAUACCCAAACCGACUGUUCAACAUCAGUAAUCUUAACCAUCAAGAUGAUCUGCAAGUAUCAUACUGAGCACUCAUGUAUUUUUUUUUUGG